GUUCCUACGGGACGCAGCAGUGGGGAAUAUUGCACAAUGGGGGAAACCCUGAUGCAGCGACGCCGCGUGAGCGAUGAAGUAUUUCGGUAUGUAAAGCUCUAUCAGCAGGGAAGAAAAUGACGGUACCUGACUAAGAAGCCCCGGCUAACUACGUGCCAGCAGCCGCGGUAAUACGUAGGGGGCAAGCGUUAUCCGGAUUUACUGGGUGUAAAGGGAGCGUAGACGGCGGUGCAAGCCAGAUGUGAAAGCCCGGGGCUCAACCCCGGGACUGCAUUUGGAACUGUGCUGCUAGAGUGUCGGAGAGG
rnacentral:rRNA from 1 species